UACAGAGGGUGCGAGCGUUAAUCGGAAUUACUGGGCGUAAAGCGUGCGUAGACGGUUAUGUAAGUCGGAUGUGAAAGCCCCGGGCUCAACCUGGGAAUGGCAUUCGAGACUGCAUAGCUAGGAUGCGGAAGAGGGAAGUGGAAUUUCCGGUGUAGCGGUGAAAUGCGUAGAUAUCGGAAGGAACACCAGUGGCGAAAGCGACUUCCUGGUCCAGCAUCGACGUUCAGGCACGAAAGCGUGGGGAGCAAACAGG
rnacentral:rRNA from 1 species